rnacentral:rRNA from 1 species
UACGUAGGGGGCGAGCGUUGUCCGGAUUUAUUGGGCGUAAAGAGCUCGUAGGCGGUUUGGCAAGUCGGGUGUGAAAACUCCGGGCUCAACUCGGAGACGCCACUCGAUACUGCCAUGACUCGAGUCCGGUAGGGGAGUGCGGAAUUCCUGGUGUAGCGGUGAAAUGCGCAGAUAUCGGGAGGAACACCGAUGGCGAAGGCAGGUCUCUGGGCAUUAACUGACGCUGAGGAGCGAAAGCAUGGGGAGCGAACAGG